CCGGCUUAGCAGUGCAACACCUAAGCGUGUUUCAUGUUUCGUUUGUUCCCUCAUAAAGCAAAGAAGUUUUACUUGUGAUAAGCACACUAGUACUGCCAGUAUGAAGGUCAGCAUUUAAUGAUUCAUAAUUAAACGAUUCGCGGAACAUCACUGACUGCCUGUCAACAUAUUUCUGAUACUUUCCGUCGGCAUCUCGAGAAAUUAUGCUCACCAUCAUGUGUGGCCGUAUAGAGAGGUGUAGUAAAUUGUGCAUGCCGUUUGGGCAUAUCAUAUAGAUAUCUUUUAGACACUACCAUUGUUAUAACAUGUCAUCAAGCGAGCUGUGGUUUAUGAAAUGAGCUGCACGAAACUGCAAAGAAUAUGCUUUCCUCGUGCAAAUUACACUUAUACACUUAAAAUUCACGUGAGAAAUCAAUUUCAAUUAGUGCCUGAAGUGCAUGUUCUCACUGAAUGUCUGAAGCAAUACACAUGAGAAUAUUGUGCAUAUCUUGUGCAUUUUAAGAGCUUUCAGCAAAUGUGCCAGAGGUACCACACGGAACCCCUGGCCAAGCGAGUCGUGGAAGCACACAACCGGCUGCGUGGACAGUGCCAACCCCACGAUGACACACACCACUAAGAGCCGGAAGAAGCCAAAAUGAAGCGACGCUGGCGUUUUUGGAGGACGGAUAUGAUCAGGACAUUCAAAUGCGCAUGCUUAGCUGUCAUAUCGACAAGAGAAGGCUUGAACUCCAGAUUCGCCAGCACGAUGAUAAUACGAAGUUCCUACACCAGCAGCAUGCUGACAACAUCAGACUUCAAGAGGCCGAAAUGGACAUCACAAGGAUGGAGAUGGCGGCGGUCCUUGGGGAGAGGCGGCCUAACUCAGCUUAUCAAAGUUCGCAACUAGAACUCAUCAAAGGCCUUAUUAAAAGAAUGAAAAAAUAAAGUAGGGCAGCAAUGGUGUGAUUGUUGUUA
rnacentral:lncRNA from 1 species